CUUAAUAAUGGUCCUCAGAGAGAGACAGUUUAAUAUGAGGCAGUAAUUGGAUAAAUUAAUCAAAUGCAUUAUUCAGUAAAUUAAAGAUACUGACAUUUAAAUAUUUACUUAAUCAAUGUAUUUUAAAAUCUAUACAUAGAGCACAUCAGAAUUGUCUGCCUCACAAUAUAUAACAUUUAGUACACUGCUCAAGUAUUUCCAUUUACAUUGUAGUACUUGAUCAAAUCCAGUAGAUGGCAGUAGUUACAUAUAGUCUGCAUUAAGACACCGACCAAGAAGAAGACUGAGGGGCUUUUUUUACCAAGAGUUUUCCCCCCAAAACAAUUUGCUUUUGAGAGGUGCUGCCUUUUCCCAUCAAAUUACUGGUCCCCAACCCUUGGGACAUGGAACUGGAUGCAGUAUCGGAUGUGGACCCGGUACAGGAUAAGGGCACCAGUGCCGGAGAAAGACACUUGUGGCAUCUGGCGGAGAAGACACAGGAAACAGACAAAUACUAACCGGCCAGGGUUCCAACCGCUGAUCCGAGUAGAGCAUGGACAGCCAGUAGUGGAGAGUAAAGCACUACAGCGCCAAGGAUGAGAAGUGAAGGCUUAAGAGCUCCACAGGCAAAAAUCUGUCCCACACCAAGAGGGAUACCACCAAGAACCUGGAUAAAAAGACACAUUUUUGGAGAAUUCAGCUGUCUGGAUGUCAAACAUUGUCAAUAAAGUUCUAGGCCAAUUCCAAAUUCAGCAUCAAUUGAAAACUAAAAUGUUUUCAUUUUGGCCCAGAUCUACUUUUUUCACUCAGUCUAUUCAAAAACAGGUUUGCAGCAGUAAACCAAUCAUUUACAGUACUCUAUCACAAAAGAAGUGUUUCUAUGGCAACAUGAAGGGUACACCUCUCUGAUGCUAAUAUUUACAAGUCAUAAAGGGGUUUUAAUUUCAUCGUCGCCUCCCAACUGGGUAAGUGUACCUGUGUUUGUUCAAGGAUUAUUGUGCCACCACAGCUGAGGGAGCAAAGUGGCAGAAGUUUGAGGCAUUGAAGAUGGAAAAAAAACAUCUCAGUCUCUUGAGAGAACUUUAGAAAGAGUAUGAUUUAAAAAAAAAA